rnacentral:ribozyme from 1 species
UGCCCACCAACUCCUAUCCCUACCUCCUCGUGGUACCGGCCGGAAACUAUGAGCAACCUUAGGGAAGA